rnacentral:lncRNA from 1 species
UUACCUGUAUCAUUAACUGUUAUGCAUUUUUUAGUGUAUCGAUGGCUCAGUAAAAAUUAAGCUGUUUAUUUUAUACAGUGCUGUUUAGACAGACAGUUACUAUAGUUUGAAAAUAAUUUAAUUACUUGGUUCAUGUGUCAUUGCCUACGUAGCUGACCAGUACCUGUAGUUAUUUUUAAGUCUGUGUUUUCUUGUGGAAUGUAGAGAUGAGAAUCAUUUCUACAAGAGGGUUACUUGCUCAUAUCAGUGGUCCUAUUUGACAUUACUUCCUUAAUGAUUUAGAAAAUUCAGUGGUGGAUUUUACACAUGACAAGGGAAUAUUUUAGCAAAGUCGUUAAGAUGUGGUGGUGAAGUAGAUUUGAAGACAACAGGCCAUGACAUUGAUUUAAAACUGGAUUCCAUAAAAGUUGCUUUGAUCUUGACUAAGGAUGUGUGACUUCCUGCUGAUGUGCAGCUGUCCAGUUACCCUAGCGCCAAGCUCAUUGAAACACACUCUCCAGGUUGUUGACGAUUUCUGGGUACCGUCCAACCCUGACAUUAUGUAAAAACUGUUGAUAGUAGUGAGUUUUCAAGUAAUGUGUUUUCAUUGAAGAAUAUAUCUUCAUUCCUGACACCAACGUUACCUAUAUUUGACAAAUGGUUAUUUGAAUAAGGCGCUAUGGCUCUAAAAUUUGCCUUAUAAGAAAGAAAAUCAUACUUGCUGACCCUCAAGUCCUCCUUAUCAAGUCAUCUUUCUCCUUCAUCUUUUCCUCCCAUUUCAUUCUCUAUU